ACCGCCCACACGCACCACCCAGCGGCACCGCGCGGGGAUAACAAACUCCAACUCAAAAAAACUUCCCGAGCGCAUCGGGGAACGCGCAGAGGUUACAAACAAAGGGAAGCAUCAGCAUUAAAAGAAAAGGGAGACAACAACAACAACAAAAAAAAAAAAAGGAGGAGGAAAGCAAACGAACAAAAACCCCGAACCGAACCCAACGCGACGUCCUCAGCUCCACGCAGCGCCGAUCCCGUGAAGUUGGAGCGGGCAGAAACACGCACACGGGGGGGGGGACGACGACCAGAAAACCCACCUUUUUACAACAAAAGGUUUUUCUUUCCGAAAAGGGAAAAAAAUAGAAGAAACGCUCUUAGGAAACGAACGGGACUGCGGGAGCCGAACCUCCUCCCAAAGCACGCCGGGUUUGCGGGGUUGGAAGGCCGACGCCAGAAGAGUUGAAGUUAAGGAAAGCAGCGGGGAGGGGGCGGCCCCGCUUUUCGCUCCCCCCGCUCGUGUGACCCCCAUAACCCCGCAGCAGCGCCGGGGAGGGGUUGAAGUCACACCGCACGCGUUUCUAUGGGGGAAGGGGGGGGAGAAAACAAAGUUGAAAUGUUUUCAUUUCUACCUCUUUUCUUUUUUCCUCCCCGUACAUCGCAAAGAGGCGCACAAAGCGGAGCUGCCGGGGGGUCCCGGAGUGGCCCCCGCCGCCGCCCGGCUCUCACGUGGCCCCGCGGCCGCCCCGGGCGGACACAAAGAGGAUUCGUCGUGGAGGUGUUUCGGGGGGUGCCAUUUUUCUGGUUGGUUUUUUAAUUAUGAUCUCUUCCCCCCCCCCCCCCUCCCGGUUUGUUUGCUUAAUUAUUAUUAAUUUGUUUUUUUUCCCUCUCUCUCUCUGCAAAAAUAAACUCCCAACAUCUUAGAUUUUGUUUCUUUAUUGUACAAUUUAUAAAACAUCGCGCUGCCCUCCCGCCCCCCCACCCCCCCGCGCCCCCCACCCGCCCCUCUCCCCAACCCCCAUCCC
rnacentral:lncRNA from 1 species